GUCUUUGUGGUGUAGUGGUUAGCACGCUCGGCGUGCAUUCGAGAGGUCCGUGGUUCAAGUCCCGGCGAGGGCA
rfam:Stegodyphus mimosarum contig9390, whole genome shotgun sequence.